rnacentral:rRNA from 1 species
CCUACGGGAGGCAGCAGUGAGGAAUAUUGGUCAAUGGACGGAAGUCUGAACCAGCCAUGCCGCGUGCAGGAAGACGGCUCUAUGAGUUGUAAACUUCUUUUGUACAAGGGUAAACCUGAAUACGUGUAUUCAGCUGAAAGUACUGUACGAAUAAGGAUCGGCUAACUCCGUGCCAGCAGCCGCGGUAAUACGGAGGAUCCAAGCGUUAUCCGGAUUUAUUGGGUUUAAAGGGUGCGUAGGCGGAUUGAUAAGUUAGAGGUGAAAUGUCCGAGCUUAACUCGGGAACUGCCGCUAAUCCUGUGGAUCGAGAGAGUAGAUGCGGUAGGCGGAAUGUAUGGUGUAGCGGGGAAAUGCUUAGAGAUCAUACAGAACACCGAUUGCGAAGGCAGCUUACCAAUCUAUAUCUGACGUUGAGGCACGAAAGCGUGGGGAGCAAACAGGAUUAGAUACCCGUGUAGUC